rnacentral:tRNA from 1 species
GGAGGUAUAGCUCAGUGGUAGAGUGCGUGCUUAGCAUGCACAAUGUCCUGGAUUCAAUCCCCAGUACCUCCA